AAGACCAGCCUUUUGGCGAUCUCUUAAAAUAAAGCCUAGCCUGCUUUAAAAAAACGGGCGUUUAGAUACUCUUUAAAUUCUUAUGAAUCUUAAAGAGUAUGAAUUAAAAAAAGGCUUUAUGAAGAAAGCACUUUAAGCUUUUCCAACGAUUUAAGAUMGAUACCGGGGAAGGUUUUUCCGGUUUAUCCCGGAGGGCUUGUAGCUCAGUUGGUUAGAGCGCGCGCUUGAUAAGCGUGAGGUCGGAGGUUCAAGUCCUCCCAGGCCCACCAAUUUAUGCUCGUUUUUUGCUUAUCUUGAGCCUUAUGAAGCUUAAGCGUGUCAAAGCCUCUUUAAUCUUUGUUCAUAGUUUAAAGAUUUAAUUUUAACGUCCCUUCAAGGGUGCAGAUAAAUUUAAAGAAUAAAAAUCAAAUUUAAGCAAUACAAAUCAAAAUAAUAUUGAUUAAAAGAGGAUUAAAAGAGGACAAGUCAUUCAAGUUGAUCAAUUUUCUUGAGAUUGAUUUGAGAGAGCAUUCUUUAGGGGCCGUAGCUCAACUGGGAGAGCACCUGCUUUGCAAGCAGGG
rnacentral:misc_RNA from 1 species